GAAAUCGGAUCAGGGUUAGUCGGGGCCUAAGGAGAACCCGAAUGGGAUAUUCGAUGGACAACGGUUUAAUAUUACCGUACCUUUUAUAGAUGCGAUGUGGGGACGGAGUAGUGACACUGCCGCGAACUGACGGAAUAGUUCGUUAAAGACUGUAGGUAUUGGGAUGGUAGGCAAAUCCGCCAAUCCAGCUGAACGUCGAUAGUACCGCAAGCCUUCGGGUGAGUGGAUAGCGCAGGUAAUCAGACUUCCAAGAAAAACCGCUAAGCUCCAGUCUAUAAAAGCCCGUACCGCAAACCGACACAGGUAUCCGGGAAGAGAAUUCUAAGGUGCUCGAGUGAAUCAUGGCUAAGGAACUCGGCAAAAUGGCCCUGUAACUUCGGGAGAAGGGGCGCUGUCAGCAAUGGCAGCCGCAGUGAAAAGGCCCAGGCGACUGUUUAACAAAAACACAUGGCUUUGCAAAAUCGAAAGAUGAGGUAUAAGGCCUGACACCUGCCCGGUGCUGGAAGGUUAAGAGGGGAUGUUAGGGUCAAACCGAAGCAUUGAAUCGAAGCCCCAGUAAACGGCGGCCGUAACGAUAACGGUCCUAAGGUAGCAAAAUUCCUUGUCGGGUAAGUUCCGACCUGCACGAAUGGUGUAACGAUCUGGGCGCUGUCUCAGCCAUGAGCUCGGUGAAAUUGUGGUCCCGGUGAAGACGCCGGGUACCCGCAACGGGACGGAAAGACCCCAUGCACCUUCACUACAAUUUAACAUUGACAUUGGAUACAGGAUGUGUAGGAUAGGUGGGAGGCUUUGAAGCGGCGUCGCUAGGCGUCGUGGAGCCAACGUUGAAAUACCACCCUUUCUGUAUUCGGUGUCUAAUCCCGCCCAGCGGGAGACAUUGUUUGAUGGGUAGUUUGACUGGGGUGGUCGCCUCCAAAAAGGUAACGGAGGCUUUCAAAGGUAAGCUCAGUACGCUUGGUAACCGUACGCGGAGUGCAAUAGCAUAAGCUUGCUUGACUGUGAGGCAGACAAGCCGAGCAGGGUCGAAAGACGGAUAUAGUGAUCCGGUGGUUCUGCAUGGAAGGGCCAUCGCUCAAAGGAUAAAAGGUACGCUGGGAUAACAGGCUGAUCUCCCCCAAGAGCUCAUAUCGACGGGGAGGUUUGGCACCUCGAUGUCGGCUCGUCACAUCCUGGGGCUGGAGAAGGUCCCAAGGGUUCGGCUGUUCGCCGAUUAAAGUGGCACGCGAGCUGGGUUCAGAACGUCGCGAGACAGUUCGGUCCCUAUCUGUUGUGGGCGUAGGAAUUUAGAGUGGGGCUGACCUUAGUACGAGAGGACCGGGUUGGACUAGCCUCUAGUGAAUCUGUUGUUCCGCCAGGGGCAUUGCAGAGUAGCUACGCUGGGGAUAGAUAAGCGCUGAAAGCAUCUAAGUGCGAAACUAGCCACGAGAUGAGAAUUCCAUAUAGGACCGUAGAAGACUACUACGUUGAUAGGCUAUAGAUGUAAAGCUGGCGACAGCACAGUCGAGUAGUACUAAUCAUCUA
rnacentral:rRNA from 1 species